UGGGGAAUUUUGGGCAAUGGGCGCAAGCCUGAUCCAGCCAUGCCGCGUGAGUGAAGAAGGCCUUCGGGUUGUAAAGCUCUUUCGGCCGGGAAGAAAUCGGCGACUCUAACAUAAAGUCGCUGGAUGACGGUACCGGACUAAGAAGCACCGGCUAACUACGUGC
rnacentral:rRNA from 1 species